CCCUUAGAUGUUCUGGGCUGCACGCGCGCUACACUGAUGCGAUCAACGAGUUUUACCUUUCUCGGUAGAGAUGGGCAACCUUUUGAACUCGCAUCGUGAUGGGGAUAGAUUAUUGUAAUUAUUAAUCUUCAACGAGGAAUUCCUAGUAGGUGCAAAUCAUCAGUUUGCAUCGAUUACGUCCCUGCCCUUUGUACACACCGCCCGUCGCUGCUACCGAUUGAGUGUCCUGGUGAAUUAUUCGGACCGACAGCAUCGGAAGUUUCUUCUGUUGCCGUUGGAAAGUCUUGUAAACCCUNANACUUAGNGGAAGCAGAANUCGUANCA
rnacentral:rRNA from 1 species